ensembl:lncRNA
AAAUUGAAAACAUCACACUUGACUCCCCUCACAUGUUUUGGCCGUCGGUGUUGAAUACUGCAAAUUAGAGUUCGUUAAAAGAUUAUUCAGGAAAGCCGUUUCCUGGUAAGAAAGGUCCGACUGACGGACAAAAUAUUUCUCUUGAGCACUUUAACUUUAACGAUGAAAAGAUUGAGGCAACUCGAAAUUCGUACCGGUGUCUCCGGGGGCCCAGAUGGCGUUCCAGCGCUCGCUCACUGCAGACUGCAGCCAUGUGAAAGUGCUCUGCUCACGCCUCAACAGUAGCUGAACGGACGGAUCAAUAGACUUCACACACACGAAUCAAGUCAAGAAAAAGGAACGAAAGUCAAGGCUGAGG